GAGGUAGAUAUGUAUAGGGGUAAGGGGACAGGGAUACUGGAGUGAUGGAGGUAGAUGUGUAUAGGGGACAGGGAUACUGGAGUGAUGGAGGUAGAUGUGUAUAGGGAACAGGGAUACUGGAGUGAUGGAGGUAGAUAUGUAUAGGGGGAAGGGGACAGGGAUACUGGAGGGAUGGAGGUAGAUAUGUAUAGGGGGAAGGAGACUAUAUACAGGGUCAAUUCCAGUUUAUUUUUGUCACUGGAGGUUGGUGGCACCUUAAAUGGGGAGGACAUUCUCAUAGUAAUGGCUGGAACAGAAUAAAUGGAAUGGUAUCAAACACACAGUUUCUAUGGUUUCCAUGUGUUAUUACCACUCCAUACCAGACGUUAUUACGAGAGAGAGGGGAGGAAGAGGGGACAGAAGGGAGGAAGGAGAGA
rnacentral:lncRNA from 1 species